rnacentral:rRNA from 1 species
GACAGAGGAUGCAAGCGUUAUCCGGAAUGAUUGGGCGUAAAGCGUCUGUAGGUGGCUUUUUAAGUCUGCCGUCAAAUCCCAGGGCUUAACCCUGGACAGGCGGUGGAAACUACCAAGCUGGAGUACGGUAGGGGCAGAGGGAAUUUCCGGUGGAGCGGUGAAAUGCGUAGAGAUCGGAAGGAACACCAGUGGCGAAGGCGGCUACCUGGAAUGAUACUGACACUGAGGCGCGAGAGCGUGGGGAGCAAACAGG